CCUACGGGUGGCUGCAGUGGGGCAUAUUGGGCAAUGGCCGCAAGCCUGACCCAGCAACGCCGCGUGAAGGAAGAAGGCUUUCGGGUUGUAACCUUCUUUUGACAGGGAAGAGUAGAAGACGGUACCUGUCGAAUCAGACACGGCUAACUACGUGCCAGCAGCAGCGGUAAUACGUAGGUGGCAAGCGGUAUCCGGAUUUAUUGGGUUUAAAGGGCGUGUAGGCGGGAGCGCAAGUCAGAUGUGAAAACUCAGGGCUCAAACCUUAGCCUGCUUUUGAAACUGUGUUUCUUGAGUGCUGGUGAGGCAAUCGGAAUUCCGUGUGUAGCGGUGAAAUGCGUAGAUAGACGGAGGAACACCAGUUGCGAAGGCGGAUUGCGGGACAGUAACUGACGCUGAGGCGCGAAAGCGUGGGGAGCAAACAGGAUUAGAUACCCUUGUAGUC
rnacentral:rRNA from 1 species